rnacentral:rRNA from 1 species
GAUGAACGCUAGCGGCAGGCUUAAUACAUGCAAGUCGUGGGGCAGCAUGAGUAGCAAUACUUGAUGGCGACCGGCAAACGGGUGCGGAACACGUACACAACCUUCCUUCAAGUGGGGAAUAGCCCAGAGAAAUUUGGAUUAAUACCCCGUAAUAUAAUGAUGUGGCAUCACAUUAUUAUUAUAGCUACGGCGCUUGAAGAUGGGUGUGCGGCUGAUUAGGUAGUUGGCGGGGUAACGGCCCACCAAGGCUGCGAUCAGUAACUGGUGUGAGAGCACGACCAGUCACACGGGCACUGAGACACGGGCCCGACUCCUACGGGAGGCAGCAGUAAGGAAUAUUGGUCAAUGGACGCAAGUCUGAACCAGCCAUGCCGCGUGAAGGAUGAAGGUCCUCUGGAUUGUAAACUUCUUUUAUUUGGGACGAAAAAAGGUCUUUCUAGAUCACUUGACGGUACCAUACGAAUAAGCACCGGCUAACUCCGUGCCAGCAGCCGCCGUAAGAC